rnacentral:rRNA from 1 species
UGGGGAAUUUUGGACAAUGGGGGCAACCCUGAUCCAGCAAUGCCGCGUGUGUGAAGAAGGCCUUCGGGUUGUAAAGCACUUUUGUCCGGAAAGAAAUCCUUGGCUCUAAUACAGUCGGGGGAUGACGGUACCGGAAGAAUAAGCACCGGCUAACUACGUGCCAGCAGCCGCGGUAAUACGUAGGGUGCAAGCGUUAAUCGGAAUUACUGGGCGUAAAGCGUGCGCAGGCGGUUUGCUAAGACCGAUGUGAAAUCCCCGGGCUCAACCUGGGAACUGCAUUGGUGACUGGCAGGCUAGAGUAUGGCAGAGGGGGGUAGAAUUCCACGUGUAGCAGUGAAAUGCGUAGAGAUGUGGAGGAAUACCGAUGGCGAAGGCAGCCCCCUGGGCCAAUACUGACGCUCAUGCACGAAAGCGUGGGGAGCAAACAGGAUUAGAUACCCUGGUAGUCCACGCCCUAAAACGAUGUCAACUAGUUGUUGGGGAUUCAUUUCCUUAGUAACGUAGCUAACGCGUGAAGUUGACCGCCUGGGGAGUACGUCGCAAGAUUAAAACUCAAAUGAAUUGACGGGGUCAUAGCUGUUUCCU